rnacentral:misc_RNA from 1 species
GAACGCCCUCACGGGCUUAACUAUCCAACCAACCUCUGUGAAUCGUCGCCUUAGGGCGCUCUAUAACAAACUAUAACAGUCAUGAACGUCGUAUACAAAAACUAAACACAACUUUCAACAACGGAUCUCUUGGCUCU